rnacentral:sRNA from 1 species
UUCAUUGGGGUUGUCGAUGCUAUGUUGGGUGACUAUUCGCUAUCUGUGCAGGGAAUUGCCUGAUAGCGUAUAAAGCAAAACACAAAUCUAUCCAUGCAAGCAUUUACCGCUGGUUUAUCCGGCGGUUUUUUUUACCUGUCGUUCAGGUAGUCGGCAUUCAGGACAAAAAAAUGGCCCCUUGAGCAGUGAUGCUACAAGGGGCCGGUUCGGUGCAGGACUAUCGUCGUUCAUCAAUC